UGGAAGUUACCUUUGAGGAGGUAACAUCUGAGCAGAGAUUUGAAUACAGUGAGGGAAGAAAAGAAGUGAAUGUAUGGGUAACCUGCCUUCUAAAGGGAGGGAACAGAAAUGCUGUCCAGAGAGAAGUGUCUUGGUGAACUCCAGGCUCAGCAAGGUCCGUAUGACUGGCAAGGGCCUAGUGAACAAGGAAGAGUGGGAGAUGCUGUUGCAGGGGUAACUAAAGGCCUUGAAGGAAAUUUGGAUUUAUUCUGUGUGCCUGGAAAUUAUUAGAUUCGAAAGAGUGACAUGGCACAUUUCGAUAGAAUCAUUGGUCAGCUUCAAGGAGGGCAGAUAGUGAUGGGGUUAGAGGGGAUACAGGGAAACCAUUGAGGAGGCAAUGACAGCUGUCCACAAUUACAAGUAGCCUCCCACAAUUAUAUAACUUUUCUACAAGGCAAUUGCUUUGAGACCCUAAUGAUUCUAAGAUAAUGAAGGGUUCUGGGUGCCAUGCUGAGUUUGAAUAUUAUUGUUUGAGGAAUGUGAGAAUGAUAAUAUGUAUUGAGCACUAACUACAUGUUGGGCACUUUUAUAAGCACUUUACAUUAUUUAAUGAAACCAAAAAGUGAGGUUUGCCCUAUUAAUAAAUGAGAAAACCAAGACAGUGAUCUAUUAAGUGCCUUGCUCAAAGACCCAUGUCCUUGGAACCAGGAGUCCUUCUGUUGAUGGAGGAAAGGUUCAAAAGUGCUCUUAUUAUUUGUCACCUGGAUGGCAAAGAACUGACAUACAAAGGCCCAAGUCUUCCAGAACUGAAAAAAGUAAUGAAACCUUCAUUUAUCUGACCCAUUUGUCCUGGAGAUGCUGUAGUUUAUUAGGCGUAUCUAACAGGUGCCCUUCCACAAGCAACUAAAAAAAAAAACACACACAAAACUAUUCAAGAUGAAAAGAAGCAGUGAAGCCUCUAACACAAAGCCUGACACACCCUUUGGCUUCAGCCAGAACUCACCCACUAUAUUGUUCUGAGCAUUGAACGAGGAAGCCCCCGCUUCUGUCAAGGAUUCUCAUUAGGAUCCAGUCUCCUCAGAGAAAGGAGGUUAAAAUGUGGUCUGGAGAAUCCCUUUCCCUUCUGUUCUAUUAACUAUGUAUAUGCAAAUGAACACUUACAUUUGACCAAGCCCUGCAUCACUAGUCUGUUUACUCUUCCCCAGGACAGUGGCUACUUGCUAGUAAUUCCUGGUAUUCAUUUGCUGAGCCCUGUUGGGACCAUUGCAGCAUGAUGUAAUAAGAUCUUUCUUUAACCUCAUUUCUUCCUGCUUCUUGACUACCACUCCGUGCUCAAGUCAUACACCUCUGAGAAUUUCCUGUAUACUAUGGUCUCUUAGCCUCUCUUGCCAUUAUUCUUAUUCUUCCUACACGUUUUCAUUUCCUCCCCAUCUUCUAUUCACCCAGCUAGUUCAUUCCCAUAGCACUAUAUGCUAGGAACUACUUGACAGCAGAGAUCAGGCGUCAUUUACCCUGGAAUUCAUAGAAGCUGACUUAUGCUAGGGGCUCAAUAAAUGUUAGUUGCAUGAAUAAACUACACUAAGUAGGUACAAGGUCUUACUCAUCCUUGUCACAAUAACAUCCAGCACAGGCCAAUCACUUAUAAGUCUCUUGACCACAGGCAGGAAUCAGAUAAUGCCAAUGUGUAUAUAGGCAGGAAAGUAACCUACCUCAAUUAAGUUCUAAGCAUUCAUAAAUUUUUCAGAGGCCCUUCUCCUCGAGAUCUGUUGUGAUAUUUUUUCAGGAGCCAGAGGCAGUUCAAAGCUAUGCACUCUCUAGGAGGGGGUACUGGCACCAUAUUCUGCAGCUCCACCUCUAUUAGUCAGAGAACCCUGAUUGGUAACCUCUUUAAAUGCCCAGAGGCCCAUUUUGCAGAGCUCAAGUGGAGGUAAUGGCCCUAUUUGAGUCUUUUGAAUGCUGACCCAGCCGUAGAGAAAAUACCUUGUUCACCCAAUUCUCUAUAGUUCCAGAGGGUGCUGUAUUUCUUAACCACCUUCAGAGUCACCCUAGUGCAUCCUAACUCCUGGUUUAUUUCAGAUUUCCCUACCAUGAGCUCCUUGUGAACUCCUGAGCUCUAAAUCACCAGCAACUAUUGAGUAGGUGCUCUGUAAAUAUCUCAUGACAUACUGGUCAUAUCUGUCAUAGUUUGCUGCACACAGGCCUGUCUGCAUGGACAGUGAUCACGUAGCAUUCCUCCUCCCACCAACUGACUGGAUGGAUACUUAGCCAGAAAAGGUGACUUGUGAGGCUUGUCUUAAACGGAUGAUCUGGACCAAUGGGUUUCUUUCAUGGAAUUUUACAAUUAGGACAGAGACACUUGGGUGUUAGAAAGAAGGUGAAAGGUCACUAGAUAUGAGAGCUAAUGCUGACAUCUUGGGUAAUGUGCAAAUUUAAUUGUAAGCCAAGGAAUCCAACCACCAGUGAGGGGAUGGACAAAGCAGUAACAGAGCCCAUGUGGGGGUGGUAGCAGUGGUGAGGGGUGGGGGAACAGAGACAGGGCGAGAGCAUACACAUGUCCUUGGUUGCUGGUGAUUCUAAGUUGCUGCAAACUCUGGCUAUACUGCUUUAAUUACCAGCAAAUCCUCAAUAUUACUGAAACUUAAGUUCUACCCGAGAAUGGACACUGAAGGGCUUGGGUUUAACUCAGGAUAUGGUAACAAAGGUCCUCUCUCCUAGACCCAUAUACUCCUAGUCCUCCUCCCAGUUGGUUGGAUUCCUUUGCUUACAAUAUUUGCACAUGACCCAAGAUGUCAGCAUCAGCUCUCAUAUCUGGUGCUUUCAUCUUCUAACAUCCAAGUGGCUCUGUCCUAAUUUUAAAAUUCCACGAAAGAAACCCAUUUGGUCCAGAUUAUUAUUGUUUCACAAAUAAACAGCACCCUUCCCCUAAGUCUGGAGGCUUGAAGAGGAUGGGGCAAAUCAUUGACACUAAGCUUCUCCACUCUCCUGCCCCCACCUCCUUCCAUAUAAUUCUCAACUCAGCAUGCAGAUCCUGGGUCUCCUUGCCUAUACUCAAAUACAAACCACUGGAGUUAGAAAAGGAAAAGAAGGGGGAAUAAAACAUCAAACUAGCCUUAUCCUCAGGAACUUAGAUUUUUAAUAAUCUCUCUCUUCUACACAAUCUCCUCCUUUCCCUUCAGAUUUUUUUUUCUUGUUCCCCACAUCAUCUCAAGAGAGAGAGCUAGAGGGGAAGAAAGGAGGCAGACAAAAGAAAUGGGUAGAAAUUGAUGGAAAUGAUAAAGACAGCAGCAAAAUAAAGGCUCAAAAGGCAAGCACAGGACAAGAGAGAAAGGGAGAAAUGAAGGGUUUUGAAGCCUAGGAUGGAUGCAAUGUCUCAAAAUUGGUAAAAUAUUAACCCUAAGAGGUCACAUAGUCCAGAGACACUGGAUUGCUGAAGGUUCAAACAGUUAAGAGUUCACAGAAACUUCCUCCAUUGCCAUCUACAGACAUCUUCUGUACCCAUCGUUUUUGGAUUCUCAUCUCUCCCAGUAGAAAGUUUCCUUCCUCCUGUUGAAAGAGAUCCCUACAGCCUCUACCCGUGUUCCAGAUCCUAUUUUCCCACUUUGAGCUGCAUGUUCCCUCCUUUCUGUACCUUCACUCUUCCACACCUCUUCUUAGUUAUGAACACGCUCAAUCCUACCUUAAAUCAUACAAACACUUCCUGGCAGAUGUUGGCUGGCUAAAUCAACACCAUCCUCAACCCCACCUUUUUUGUACCUGCCUCGUCUAUAGAGGCUGGCAGGGUUAAAUACUUCUUUCCCCAGCCUUCCUUGUGCUAGGGGUGGCCAUACAAUAUAGCUGUGGUCAAUAAGAUGUAAGCAGGAGUCUACUGAGUGGCUUCUGGGAAAAACUCUCCUGAUCAAAGGCACUGAUGUUGAUCAGGGAGGUGCUCCCCCUCCUUCCCUCCUGCCUUGAAUGCAGAUACUUUAUUUGAUGCUAUGGCCAUCAUGAUGUAACCAUGAUGGAAACCCCAUUAAACUCAAGACACUGAAUUGUUUUACAUGUGAGCCAGUGACAGCCACCCCAUCUAUUUGCUUACACCAUUGUGUACUGGGCUUUCCAUUGUAGCCCACAGCUCUUCUGAUAUGCUCCAAGCCCCUGCCUCCCUCUAGUUAUCUUUCUGAGUCUCUCCUACUUCAGUAAGGCUGCUAAGUUCUUUUUAACAUUUAACUCACUCUUCAACCUACUAAAAGAGAUUUUAAGCCAUCUUAAAUUGAUAGCUAAAACAAAAGCACAUAAUUCUAUUUUUAUUUUACUUCACCCUCCAUAGCAUUUGACAGUAUUAACUAUUCCUAUCCCCGUGUUAAAGCAUCUUUUUACUUUUGUGGCACCAACUUCUGACUUUUCUAUUUUCUUUUGGCUGUUUAUUCUACUUAGCUUCUAUUAAUUCCUCUUUUCAUCAGCUACCGCAUCAAUGACAGUCCUCCCACUAUCUCCUUUAUCAUUUACUCUGCUGCCUACCAGGACUCUUCCCUUCUUGGAUGUUCCAGACUCAUGGAAAUGUUCCCAGAGUGAAACUCCAUC